rnacentral:rRNA from 1 species
UACGUAGGUGGCAAGCGUUGUCCGGAAUUAUUGGGCGUAAAGCGCGCGCAGGCGGUCUUUUAAGUCUGAUGUGAAAGCCCACGGCUCAACCGUGGAGGGUCAUUGGAAACUGGGGGACUUGAGUGCAGGAGAGAAGAGUGGAAUUCCACGUGUAGCGGUGAAAUGCGUAGAGAUGCGGAGGAACACCAGUGGCGAAGGCGACUCUUUGGCCUGUAACUGACGCUGAGGCGCGAAAGCGUGGGGAGCAAACAGG